UUCUCUCAUGAUUAUUCGUCAUGAAGAAGUUCUUUGAGCAAAGACAUUGUUCCUAGUCCCCUAUCACCAAAAGUUUCUCUCGAAUAGGCAUUACAAAUCACCGGCUUCUGUAAAUAUGAUCUCCGAAGAAAAUAAUACUUGAAUACAUACACAGAAUUCUGUGGCAGGAACGUUGGAAAUGGUAUUCUAUAUAGCCUGGAAUUUAAAAUAUAGUUUAACAUCUAUUAGGUUAUCGAUCGUUGAC
rnacentral:lncRNA from 1 species